GAAGUGUUCGGAUCGCUCCGACGUGGGCGGUUCGCUGCCCGCGACGUAGCGAGAAGUCCACUGAACCUUAUCAUUUAGAGGAAGGAGAAGUCGUAACAAGGUUUCCGUAGGUGAACCUGCGGAAGGAUCAUUG
rnacentral:rRNA from 1 species